rnacentral:rRNA from 1 species
AUUGAACGCUGGCGGCAGGCCUAACACAUGCAAGUCGAGCGAGCGGCGGACGGGUGAGUAAUGUCCGGGAAACUGCCUGAGGGAGGGGGAUAACUACUGGAAACGGUAGCUAAUCACGCAUACCAUCAGAUGUGCUCAGAUGGGACUAGUUAGUAGGUGGGGUACCGGCACACCAAGGCGACGAUCCCUAGCUGGUCUGAGAGGACGACCAGCCACACUGGAACUGGUACACGGUCCAGACUCCUACGGGAGGCAGCAGUGGGGAAUAUUGCACAAUGGGCGCAAGCCUGAUGCAGCCAUGCCGCGUGUGUGAAGAAGGCCUUCGGGUUGUAAAGCACUUUCAGCGGGGAGGCGUUACCCGCAGAAGAAGCACCGGCUAACUCCGUGCCAGCAGCCGCGGUAAUUC